GGGGCUUUAGCUCAGCUGGGAGAGCGCCUGCUUUGCACGCAGGAGGUCAGCGGUUCGAUUCCGCUAAGCUCCA
rnacentral:tRNA from 1 species